AACGAACGCUGGCGGCAGGCCUAACACAUGCAAGUCGAGCGAGGACUUCGGUCCUAGCGGCGGACGGGUGAGUAACGCGUGGGAACGUGCCCUUUGCUACGGAAUAGCCCUGGGAAACUGGGAGUAAUACCGUAUGUGCCCUUUGGGGGAAAGAUUUAUCGGCAAAGGAUCGGCCCGCGUUGGAUUAGGUAGUUGGUGGGGUAAUGGCCUACCAAGCCGACGAUCCAUAGCUGGUUUGAGAGGAUGAUCAGCCAGACUGGGACUGCGACACGGCCCAGACUCCUUCGGGAGGCAGCAGUGGGGAAUCUUAGACAAUGGGGGAAACCCUGAUCUAGCCAUGCCGCGUGAGGGAUGAAGGCCUUAGGGUUGUAAAGCUCUUUCAGUGGGGAAGAUAAUGACGGUACCCACAGAAGAAGCCCCGGCUAACUCCGUGCCAGCCGCCGCAGUAACAC
rnacentral:rRNA from 1 species